AGAGUUUGAUCCUGGCUCAGAACGAACGCUGGCGGCAGGCUUAACACAUGCAAGUUGAACGGGAUUUGUGUGGUGCUUGCACCAUAUAAUGAGAGUAGCGCACUGGUGAGUAACACGUGGGAACGUGCCUUUUAGUGGGGGAUAACAUCUGGAAACGGAUGCUAAUACCGCAUACGCCCUGAGGGGGAAAGAUUUAUUGCUAAGAGGUCGGCCCGCGGUAGAUUAGGCAGUUGGUGGGGUAAAGGCCUACCAAACCUACGAUCUAUAGCUGGUCUGAGAGGACGAUCAGCCACAUUGGAACUGAGACACGGUCCAGACUCCUACGGGAGGCAGCAGUGAGGAAUAUUGGGCAAUGGAGGCAACUCUGACCCAGCCAUGCCGCGUGAGUGAGAAGGUUUUCGAAUUGUAAAGCUCUUUCGGGUGUGAAGAUGAUGACGGUAACACCAGAAGAAGCCCCGGCAAACUUCGUGCCAGCAGCCGCGGUAAUACGAAGGGGGCGAGCGUUGUUCGGAAUUACUGGGCGUAAAGGGUGUGUAGGCGGUUAAGUAAGAUAGUGGUGAAAUGCCGGGGCUCAACCUCGGAAUUGCCAUUAUGACUAUUUAGCUAGAAUGAUGCAGAGGAUAGCGGAAUACCCAGUGUAGAGGUGAAAUUCGUAGAUAUUGGGUAGAACACCAGAGGCGAAGGCGGCUAUCUGGGCAUUGAUUGACGCUGAGGCACGAAAGCAUGGGGAUCAAACAGGAUUAGAUACCCUGGUAGUCCAUGCUGUAAACGAUGAAUGCUAGUUGUUGGAGGAAUUCAGUGACGCAGUUAACACAAUAAGCAUUCCGCCUGGGGAGUACGGUCGCAAGAUUAAAACUCAAAGGAAUUGACGGGGACCCGCACAAGCGGUGGAUGAUGUGGAUUAAUUCGAUGCAACGCGAAAAACCUUACCUAGCCUUGACAUGCCAGGAAGGCCUGAGAGAUCAGGCCGUGCCCGCAAGGGAAUCUGGACACAGGUGCUGCAUGGCUGUCGUCAGCUCGUGUCGUGAGAUGUUGGGUUAAGUCCCGCAACGAGCGCAACCCCUGUUGCCAGUUGCCAGCAUUAAGUUGGGGACUCUGGCGAGACUGCCGGUGACAAGCCGGAGGAAGGCGGGGAUGACGUCAAAUCAUCAUGCCCCUUAUGACCUGGGCUACACACGUGCUACAAUGGACAGAGCAGAGGGAAGCGAAGCCGCGAGGUGGAGCGAAACCCAUAAAACUGUUCUCAGUUCGGACUGCAGUCUGCAACUCGACUGCACGAAGAUGGAAUCGCUAGUAAUCGCGAAUCAGCAUGUCGCGGUGAAUACGUUCUCGGGCCUUGUACACACCGCCCGUCACACCAUGAGAGUCGGUAACACCCGAAGCCGGUGGCCUAACCGCAAGGAAGGAGCUGUCUAAGGUGGGACUGAUGAUUGGGGUGAAGUCGUAACAAGGUAUCCCUACGGGAACGUGGGGAUG
rnacentral:rRNA from 1 species